UACGGAGGGGGCUAGCGUUGUUCGGAAUUACUGGGCGUAAAGCGCGCGUAGGCGGCUUAGCAAGUUAGAGGUGAAAGCCCGAAGCUCAACUUCGGAAUUGCCUUUAAAACUGCAAAGCUAGAAUCAUGGAGAGGUGAGUGGAAUUCCGAGUGUAGAGGUGAAAUGCGUAGAUAUCAGGAGGAACACCGGUGGCGAAGGCGGCUAUCUGGACAGAGUCUGACGCUGAGGCGCGAAAGCUAGGGGAGCAAACAGG
rnacentral:rRNA from 1 species